CUCGAGCCAGGUGAGCUCAAGCUCUGUUCAAAUUUUCAACCAACCUGGCUUGGUUAAGCUCGGGUUGAAUUUUAAACUGACCUAAGUAUUUGAGCGGGGCUUGGCUACUUUACAAACUGAGCCGGCUAGGCUGCUUGCUUUACCUUGAUUGCUCAUAUUCAUUUAUGCAUUUUCUUCUAAAUUCAACCAUUUAUUAUUUGCUCGAGUAAGGGUCAGCUUGAGCUUGACUCGAAUUUUAAACCGAGCUGGCUCGGCUCGAAUUUCUAAAUCGAGUUGAAUGUUUGUUCCAGAGCUCGGCUACCUUACAAAUUGAGUCAACACGGCUAGGCUCGCUUUCGCUCAAUUGCUCAGAUUUGUUUUUACAUUUUCUUUGAGGUUCAGCCAUUAAUCAUUUGCUUUAGCCUUGAGCUCGGCUCGAAUUCUAGAUCGAACCGAGUAUUUGAGUUGGGGCUCCACUUGGUCCAUUUCUACAUUUUCUUAUAAAUUCAACCGUUAAUCUUUUGCUUGACCCAUGGUCAGCUUGAGCUCAGCUCUAAUUUAUCCUGAGAUGGCUCGACAUGGAUAGGAUUCGAAACCAAUUUGAACCAAGCUCGAGCCAGCGUCAGCUCGAAAUCAGCUUUUAAACCAAUUCUGAAGUAGGCUGAAUAGUUGAGCUGGGGCUAGGCUCCCUUACAAACCAAGCCAACUUUGUUGGGCUCGGGUCACCUUACCUCGAUUGACCAGUUCACUAUGUGGGAAGUUUGCUUGAUGGAACUUGGUUUGAUUCAAACUACAAGCUACGAUCGACAAAUGCCGUUUAAACUCAAGCUCGGGCUUGGUAAGAGUUAUAACAGACUACCUGGUUAAAUAAUUUUUAUUAUCAGGUUGUGUUUCUAAUCACUUGUGGAUUGUGUUCUUGAUAGCAUAGUUAUGUUUCACAUUGGAGAAAGUUUCGUUGAUUCUUAUCUUCGCAAUAUUUGAAAUAAGCAGUUUGGUCGUACAUAAGUGGAAUAUUAAAGAUAAGGAUACCUACCUCAGUGUCGA